rnacentral:rRNA from 1 species
CAGCCGCCGCGGUAAUGCGGAGGGGCUAGCGUUGUUCGGAAUUACUGGGCGUAAAGCGCACGUAGGCGGCUUGGUAAGUUAGAGGUGAAAGCCUGGAGCUCAACUCCAGAAUUGCCUUUAAGACUGCCGAGCUAGCAGGUGAGAGAGGUAAGUGGAAUUCCGAGUGUAGAGGUGAAAUUCGUAGAUAUUCGGAAGAAUACCAGUGGCGAAGGCGGCUUACUGGCUCAUACUGGACCCUGAGGUGCGAAAGCGUGGGGAGCAAACAGGAUUAGAUACCCGGGUAGUCCCUGUCUCUUAUACA